rnacentral:misc_RNA from 1 species
GAUGAAGAACGGAGCGAAAUGCGAUACUUGGUGUGAAUUGCAGAAUCCCGUGAACCAUCGAGUCUUUGAACGCAAGUUGCGCCUCAAGCCAUUAGGUUGAGGGCACGUCUGCCUGGGCGUCACAUAUCGUUGCCUGAUGCCAGUUUCCUCGUGAUGGGUGACUGUGCAGGGCGAAUGAUGGCUUCCCGUGAGCAUUGUUGCCUCAUGGUUGGUUGAAAAUUGAGUCCUUGGUAGGGAGCGCCGUGAUAGAUGGUGGUUGAGUGACGAACGAGACCCAAUCAUGUGAGACCCCUACCGAAUUUGGCCUUCAUGACCCACAUGCGUCUUUGGAACGCUCAUGACGAGACCUCAGGUCAGGCGGGGCUACCCGCUGAGUUUAAGCAUAUCAAUAAGCGGAGGA